ACGCUGGCGGCAGGCUUAACACAUGCAAGUCGAGCGGUAGCACAGGGGAGCUUGCUCCCCGGGUGACGAGCGGCGGACGGGUGAGUAAUGUCUGGGAAACUGCCUGAUGGAGGGGGAUAACUACUGGAAACGGUAGCUAAUACCGCAUAACGUCGCAAGACCAAAGAGGGGGACCUUCGGGCCUCUUGCCAUCAGAUGUGCCCAGAUGGGAUUAGCUAGUAGGUGGGGUAAUGGCUCACCUAGGCGACGAUCCCUAGCUGGUCUGAGAGGAUGACCAGCCACACUGGAACUGAGACACGGUCCAGACUCCUACGGGAGGCAGCAGUGGGGAAUAUUGCACAAUGGGCGCAAGCCUGAUGCAGCCAUGCCGCGUGUGUGAAGAAGGCCUUCGGGUUGUAAAGCACUUUCAGCGAGGAGGAAGGUGGUGAGCUUAAUACGUUCAUCAAUUGACGUUACUCGCAGAAGAAGCACCGGCUAACUCCGUGCCAGCAGCCGCGGUAAUACGGAGGGUGCAAGCGUUAAUCGGAAUUACUGGGCGUAAAGCGCACGCAGGCGGUUUGUUAAGUCAGAUGUGAAAUCCCCGGGCUCAACCUGGGAACUGCAUUUGAAACU
rnacentral:rRNA from 1 species